UACGUAGGGGGCAAGCGUUGUCCGGAUUUAUUGGGCGUAAAGCGCUCGUAGGUGGUUCGGUAAGUCGGAUGUGAAAUCUCCAGGCUCAACCUGGAGGGGUCAUUCGAUACUGCCGUGACUAGAGUUCGGUAGGGGAGUGUGGAAUUCCUGGUGGAGCGGUGAAAUGCUUAGAUAUGACACAGAACACCGAUUGCGAAGGCAGCUCGCUAAACUAAUAUUGACGCUGAGGCACGAAAGCGUGGGGAUCAAACAGG
rnacentral:rRNA from 1 species